GAACAUUCCAGGCUCUGUGAACUAAGUGACUGAAGCUGAUUGACACAGGUCAAGGGGACUUCAAGGAAGAAAGCCAGCCUUAGACUGACAUCAGAGAACCAAACUCCGGUGUCUAAGCUCAAGCAUCUACAUCUCCAUUUAUGCCGUGUGCACGCAGUACCAACAGAGGUCAGAGGAGGGUGUCGGAUCCCCUGGAACUGGAGUCACAGAUUCUUCCUUGCGUGGAUGAAACAGUCCCAACGAACACUUUAAAAAGACAAAUGUUCCCGACAGCACUGGUUGAAUUCAAAACUCGGCAGAUCCAUGUUCUUAUCCUUAGACAAGAGAGGGGCCAUAACAAGAUGGAAUGACGGAACAGACGUGAGAGAUGAUGUCCACCCAGAGGGUCUGCACUUCUCGGAGCCAGAAGGUGGAGAAGAGUAGGGAUGGAGGAAGUUCGAAGUUUUAGGAGUCUGCUCUUGGGUCCCUAGGCAUGAGGACAAGCUUUUCCUGUACUCAAUGCUCAUCUCUCAGUUGUGCCCACAUUGGUACACAUUACUUGCUUUCAACUGCUGCUGCUGCUGUUUCCUAAUUCAAUAAAGAUAUGGCUGGCUCAGCAGAGAGCUGUCAUCCA
rnacentral:lncRNA from 1 species